UUCAAGAAACCAUGGUCUUUCUUCAUCAAGCCACUGUCCCCCACCCCUCCCCAUAGCAGAGAUGAAUAUUUGUUUCCAGAAUUGCUCACCUUCCUGCUUCCCUGCAGGGCCUGGGUCAAUCCCAGGGUGUAUGUUCCCAAACGCCCCUGAUGACCUCUCUGAUGAAAGCAAAGCUGUCUUUCUAGACCAUGACUGUGCUUCAGUACCUGUUACGUUUGUUCCCAGGCCUAUAUUCACACACGUAUGCGGGCGAAAACGUCUGACUUCCUCAAGGUGCUGAACCGCGCACGCCCAGAUGCCGAGAAAAAAGAAAUGAAAACAAUCACGGGGAAGACGUUUUCAUCCCGCUAAUCUUGGGAAUAAGAGGAGGAAGCGGCUGGCAACUGAAGGCUGGAACACUUGCUACUGGAUAAUCGUAGCUUUUAAUGUUGCACCUCUUCAGGUUCUUAAGGGAUUCUCCGUUUUGGUUCCAUUUUGUACACGUUUGGAAAAUAAUCUGCAGAAACGAGCUGUGCUUGCAAAGACUUCAUAGUUCCCAAGAAUUAA
rnacentral:sRNA from 1 species